ACUGCUGUCACGCUAUAGGAACCCAUGGUCGUUAAUAGCGGCCGUGCUGACCAAAGCGAGAGGAAGCGCCGGCUAACUCCGUGCCAGCAGCCGCGGUAAUACGGAGGGCGCAAGCGUAGUUCGGAUUUACUGGGCAUAAAGAGCACGUAGGCGGCUCGCUCAGUCAGGUGUGAAAGCCCACGGCUCAACCGUGGAACUGCACCUGAUACUGGCGAGCUUGAGGACGGAAGGGGUGAGUGGAACUCCAGGUGGAACGGUGAAAUGUAUAGAUAUCUGGAGGAACACCGGUGGCGAAAGCGGCUCACUGGUCCGUCUCUGACGCUGAGGUGCGAAAGCUAGGGUAGCGAACGGGAUUAGAUACCCCGGUAGUCCUAGCCGUAAACGAUGGGCACUAGGCAAUGGGCCCUCCUAUGAGGUUCAUUGCCGGAGCUAAUGUGUUAAGUGCCCCGCCUGGGGAGUACGCUCGCAAGGGUAAAACUCAAAGGAAUUGACGGGGGAUCACACAAGCAGUGGAGCAUGUUGUUUAAUUCGAAGCAACGCGAAGAACCUUACCAGGCCUUGACAUGUGCGGAUUAGCUGCGUGAAAGCGUAGUGACGGCUCUUCGGAGUUGGAACGUACACAGGUGUUGCAUGGCUGUCGUCAGCUCGUGCCGUGAGGUGUUGGGUUAAGUCCCGUAACGAGCGAAACCCUUAUUGUUAGUUGCCAGCGGGUUAUGCCGGGGACUCUAGCGAGACUGCCGUUGUCAAAACGGAGGAAGGUGGGGACGACGUCAAGUCAUCAUGGCCCUUAUGGCCUGGGCUACAAACGUGCUACAAUGGUCCGUACAAUGGGUUCCGAAGCCGCGAGGUGUAGGCAAUCCCAUCAAAGCGGGCCCCAGUUCGGAUUGCAGGCUGAAAUUCGCCUGCAUGAAGCCGGAAUUGCUAGUAAUCGCGUAUCAGCCACGACGCGGUGAAUAUGUUCCUGAUCCUUGUACACACCGCCCGUCAAGCCACGGAAGCGGGUAGCGCUCGAAGUCGUUUUGUCUAACCUUCGGGAGGACGACGCCGAAAGCGAGAUCCGUGACUGGGACUAAGUCGUAACAAGGUAGCCGUAGGGGAACCUGCGGCUGGAUCACCUCCUUU
rnacentral:rRNA from 1 species